GGUUUUCGCCCAGUACCGCAAGGUACUGCGCGUGUCGAGCCGUUCAUUCGUGGUCGUGCUGCAAACCGAAAUUUUUGGAAUGCCGCACCGGGGUUAUCCGGUGAGGCGAA
rnacentral:sRNA from 1 species